rnacentral:rRNA from 2 species
GAUUAAGUUAUUAAGGGCGCACGGUGGAUGCCUUGGCACUAGAAGCCGAUGAAGGACGUUACUAACGACGAUAUGCUUUGGGGAGCUGUAAGUAAGCUUUGAUCCAGAGAUUUCCGAAUGGGGAAACCCAGCAUGAGUUAUGUCAUGUUAUCGAUAUGUGAAUACAUAGCAUAUCAGAAGGCACACCCGGAGAACUGAAACAUCUUAGUACCCGGAGGAAGAGAAAGAAAAUUCGAUUCCCUUAGUAGCGGCGAGCGAAACGGGAAGAGCCCAAACCAACAAGCUUGCUUGUUGGGGUUGUAGGACACUCUAUACGGAGUUACAAAGGACGACAUUAGAUGAAUCAUCUGGAAAGAUGAAUCAAAGAAGGUAAUAAUCCUGUAGUCGAAAAUGUUGUCUCUCUUGAGUGGAUCCUGAGUACGACGGAGCACGUGAAAUUCCGUCGGAAUCUGGGAGGACCAUCUCCUAAGGCUAAAUACUCUCUAGUGACCGAUAGUGAACCAGUACCGUGAGGGAAAGGUGAAAAGCACCCCGGAAGGGGAGUGAAAUAGAACCUGAAACCGUGUGCUUACAAGUAGUCAGAGCCCGUUAAUGGGUGAUGGCGUGCCUUUUGUAGAAUGAACCGGCGAGUUACGAUUUGAUGCAAGGUUAAGCAGUAAAUGUGGAGCCGUAGCGAAAGCGAGUCUGAAUAGGGCGUUUAGUAUUUGGUCGUAGACCCGAAACCAGGUGAUCUACCCUUGGUCAGGUUGAAGUUCAGGUAACACUGAAUGGAGGACCGAACCGACUUACGUUGAAAAGUGAGCGGAUGAACUGAGGGUAGCGGAGAAAUUCCAAUCGAACCUGGAGAUAGCUGGUUCUCUCCGAAAUAGCUUUAGGGCUAGCCUCAAGUGAUGAUUAUUGGAGGUAGAGCACUGUUUGGACGAGGGGCCCCUCUCGGGUUACCGAAUUCAGACAAACUCCGAAUGCCAAUUAAUUUAACUUGGGAGUCAGAACAUGGGUGAUAAGGUCCGUGUUCGAAAGGGAAACAGCCCAGACCACCAGCUAAGGUCCCAAAAUAUAUGUUAAGUGGAAAAGGAUGUGGCGUUGCCCAGACAACUAGGAUGUUGGCUUAGAAGCAGCCAUCAUUUAAAGAGUGCGUAAUAGCUCACUAGUCGAGUGACACUGCGCCGAAAAUGUACCGGGGCUAAACAUAUUACCGAAGCUGUGGAUUGUCCUUUGGACAAUGGUAGGAGAGCGUUCUAAGGGCGUUGAAGCAUGAUCGUAAGGACAUGUGGAGCGCUUAGAAGUGAGAAUGCCGGUGUGAGUAGCGAAAGACGGGUGAGAAUCCCGUCCACCGAUUGACUAAGGUUUCCAGAGGAAGGCUCGUCCGCUCUGGGUUAGUCGGGUCCUAAGCUGAGGCCGACAGGCGUAGGCGAUGGAUAACAGGUUGAUAUUCCUGUACCACCUAUAAUCGUUUUAAUCGAUGGGGGGACGCAGUAGGAUAGGCGAAGCGUGCGAUUGGAUUGCACGUCUAAGCAGUAAGGCUGAGUAUUAGGCAAAUCCGGUACUCGUUAAGGCUGAGCUGUGAUGGGGAGAAGACAUUGUGUCUUCGAGUCGUUGAUUUCACACUGCCGAGAAAAGCCUCUAGAUAGAAAAUAGGUGCCCGUACCGCAAACCGACACAGGUAGUCAAGAUGAGAAUUCUAAGGUGAGCGAGCGAACUCUCGUUAAGGAACUCGGCAAAAUGACCCCGUAACUUCGGGAGAAGGGGUGCUCUUUAGGGUUAACGCCCAGAAGAGCCGCAGUGAAUAGGCCCAAGCGACUGUUUAUCAAAAACACAGGUCUCUGCUAAACCGUAAGGUGAUGUAUAGGGGCUGACGCCUGCCCGGUGCUGGAAGGUUAAGAGGAGUGGUUAGCUUCUGCGAAGCUACGAAUCGAAGCCCCAGUAAACGGCGGCCGUAACUAUAACGGUCCUAAGGUAGCGAAAUUCCUUGUCGGGUAAGUUCCGACCCGCACGAAAGGCGUAACGAUUUGGGCACUGUCUCAACGAGAGACUCGGUGAAAUCAUAGUACCUGUGAAGAUGCAGGUUACCCGCGACAGGACGGAAAGACCCCGUGGAGCUUUACUGUAGCCUGAUAUUGAAAUUCGGCACAGCUUGUACAGGAUAGGUAGGAGCCUUUGAAACGUGAGCGCUAGCUUACGUGGAGGCGCUGGUGGGAUACUACCCUAGCUGUGUUGGCUUUCUAACCCGCACCACUUAUCGUGGUGGGAGACAGUGUCAGGCGGGCAGUUUGACUGGGGCGGUCGCCUCCUAAAAGGUAACGGAGGCGCUCAAAGGUUCCCUCAGAAUGGUUGGAAAUCAUUCAUAGAGUGUAAAGGCAUAAGGGAGCUUGACUGCGAGACCUACAAGUCGAGCAGGGUCGAAAGACGGACUUAGUGAUCCGGUGGUUCCGCAUGGAAGGGCCAUCGCUCAACGGAUAAAAGCUACCCCGGGGAUAACAGGCUUAUCUCCCCCAAGAGUUCACAUCGACGGGGAGGUUUGGCACCUCGAUGUCGGCUCAUCGCAUCCUGGGGCUGUAGUCGGUCCCAAGGGUUGGGCUGUUCGCCCAUUAAAGCGGUACGCGAGCUGGGUUCAGAACGUCGUGAGACAGUUCGGUCCCUAUCCGUCGUGGGCGUAGGAAAUUUGAGAGGAGCUGUCCUUAGUACGAGAGGACCGGGAUGGACAUACCUCUGGUGUACCAGUUGUCGUGCCAACGGCAUAGCUGGGUAGCUAUGUGUGGACGGGAUAAGUGCUGAAAGCAUCUAAGCAUGAAGCCCCCCUCAAGAUGAGAUUUCCCAACUUCGGUUAUAAGAUC